rnacentral:lncRNA from 1 species
CCUGGAUUCCUCAUAUAAGUUUUCACUUCAUAAUAUAUAUGUGUUAACUCAGACAAGUUUGAGACAAAGUUCUCUGAUCUGUAUCGCUGAAAGUCUAACUUAUCCACACAUACCCUCCCCAAUGGUUAAGAAAUGAGACACUCUUUCUACCUGGAUCAUCUCUUUUCUUACAAAGACAUGCCUGUAUAAGACAUCCACAUGGAGUUUGUCUCUCUCCAAUCCCUCCAACACCUGCCUGUUCCACCCACCGUGCUCACCGUCACCUCCUGAAGAUCAGUGUCAGAUGUCUUGAGAGCUCAAAACAGCAGCUGGAUUUUCUGGGAUGCCAUUGUUUGCGGGGGUAAAGGUCAGGGGCAAAUCCAAGGCAGGCAGUGAGCCCAAAGCUACAUGAUACACGGCAAUGAACUUGGUCCCUGGGGUAAAAUCAGCUGGUGGAAGGACCUAGCCCACAGGACAGCACCACAGCUGUAACUUGGGGAGAACAGGGGUCUCUGGCCACACUGGCUUCACUACUCAAGAGUCUGUGGGACUAGGCGCUUCAGUGGUUCCAGCCAGCAACACCAGUCCAGACUCUACGACCCAGCAAACCUGUGAUCUGAUGAUAGAAAACAGAAGAAAAUACAAGGGGACGUAAAAAGCCAGAAGCGCUUAGGAAAAAUUCCCUCAUUGAAGAACCCAGAGGAGCGAAGAAGUGACCCCUUCCCAGCCCUCAGAAAAGUCCACUUGAAAUAUGGAUUUUCAAGUCAAAUCUUGUCAGUCAGCUCCUCUCCAGCUCGAACCCAGAAGGAACUGGCCAACUGUUGCCCUGGUCUGGCCACCCUAACAGUACCUGAUGUGUGUUCAGAUGCACCUGGAAAGAAAGGAAAGGGAAUGACUAGCUGUGAGAGAGAUGGAUGCAGUAGACUGGAAAGACCUCAUAAGGUAGGUGAUGCUUUACCUGAACAUCGAAGGAUGUGUCAAAAUGUUCCAGAGGUGAACAAUGCUAAGAGCUUUCCAAGCACCAGGAAAGGCAAGGAGGGAUGAACAAUCAUUUGGGGUACAGGAAUUGCUCCCACACCUCUGUGAUCCAACAGGGUCAAAGAUGUGCAGAGGAAAGGGGUGGAGCAGAGGACAGGAAAAGGUGGGCCAGGUAGCCAGCCUCUGAUCAAAAGGACAAAUACCACAUUAAAAUGAAAUGAGUUAUUGAAGCUUGUAGAGUCUGGAGGUAAGCUAGACUUCCAUGGCUUAGAAUAGAAAGAUAGAACUGUUCCUUUUAUUUCUGGUCCCAUGUAGCACUCUGAAGUAUUCAGAAGUGAAUUUAGAAGCCUGUUUCACUUCACUUAGAUUCACAACACCUGCUGCUGAAGAUGUAACCCAGACUCGAAGGAUGAAAAAUGUCCUCUGUCAGACACAGACAUAUGUUACCAGUUUCGAUCAUAUGUCAUCUGUGACUCAAGUAAUCAUGAACGCGAA